UACGUAGGGCGCAAGCGUUAUCCGGAAUUAUUGGGCGUAAAGGGCGCGUAGGCGGUUUGACAAGUCAAAGGUGAAAUCCCUCGGCUCAACUGAGGAACUGCCUUUGAAACUGUCUGGCUUGAGGCCGGGAGGGGGUAGCGGAAUUCCCAGUGUAGCGGUGAAAUGCGUAGAUAUCUGGAGGAACACCGGUGGCGAAGGCGGCGUCCUGGACCAACACUGACACUGAUGAGCGAAAGCCAGGGGAGCAAACGGG
rnacentral:rRNA from 1 species